GAUGAAGAACGUAGUGAAAUGCGAUAAGUAAUGUGAAUUGCAGAAUUCAGUGAAUCAUCGAAUCUUUGAACGCACAUUGCGCCCUCUGGUAUUCCUGGGGGCAUGCCUGUUCGAGCGUCAUUAUAACCACUCAAGCUCUCGCUUGGUAUUGGAGUUCGCGAUCUCGCGGCUCCUAAAAUCAGUGGCGGUGCCUGUCGGCUCUACGCGUAGUAAUACUCCUCGCGAUUGAGUCCGGUAGGUUUACUUGCCAGCAACCCCCAAUUUUUACAGGUUGACCUCGGAUCAGGUAGGGAUACCCGCUGAACUUAAGCAUAUCAAUAAGCGGAGGA
rnacentral:misc_RNA from 1 species